AAACGUGGGGCUAAUACCGGAUAGGAGCUCCUGCUGCAUGGUGGGGGUUGGAAAGUUUCGGCGGUUGGGGAUGGACUCGCGGCUUAUCAGCUCGUUGGUGGGGUAGUGGCUUACCAAGGCUUUGACGGGUAGCCGGCCUGAGAGGGUGACCGGCCACAUUGGGACUGAGAUACGGCCCAG
rnacentral:rRNA from 1 species